UACGUAGGUCCCGAACGUUGCGCGAAUUUACUGGGCGUAAAGGGUCCGUAGGCGGUUUAGCAAGUGGUUGGUGAAAUUUCACGGCUCAACCGUGAAACUGCCUUCCAAACUGCUAAACUUGAGGCAGGGAGAGGUCGGCGGAAUUCCCGGUGUAGCGGUGAAAUGCGUAGAUAUAGGGAGGAACGCCAGUGGCGAAGGCGGCCGACUGGAACUGUCCUGUUGCUGAGGGACGAAAGCUAUGGUAGCAAACCGG
rnacentral:rRNA from 1 species